rnacentral:rRNA from 1 species
AUACGUUGGGGGCUAGCGUUAUCCGGAAUUACUGGGCGUAAAGGGUGCGUAGGUGGUUUCUUAAGUCAGAAGUGAAAGGCUACGGCUCAACCGUAGUAAGCUUUUGAAACUAAGAGACUUGAGUGCAGGAGAGGAGAGUAGAAUUCCUAGUGUAGCGGUGAAAUGCGUAGAUAUUAGGAGGAAUACCAGUUGCGAAGGCGGCUCUCUGGACUGUAACUGACACUGAGGCACGAAAGCGUGGGGAGCAAACAGGAUUAGAUACCCUGGUAGUCCACGCCGUAAACGAUGAGUACUAGCUGUCGGGGGUUACCCCCCUCGGUGGCGCAGCUAACGCAUUAAGUACUCCGCCUGGGAAGUACGCUCGCAAGAGUGAAACUUAAAGGAAUUGGCGGGG